CACGUAGGGUGCGAGCGUUGUCCGGAAUUAUUGGGCGUAAAGAGCUCGUAGGCGGUGUGUCGCGUCGGCCGUGAAAACCUGGGGCUUAACUCUGGGCGUGCGGUCGAUACGGGCAUCACUGGAGUUCGGCAGGGGAGACUGGAAUUCCUGGUGUAGCGGUGAAAUGCGCAGAUAUCAGGAGGAACACCGGUGGCGAAGGCGGGUCUCUGGGGCCGAUACUGACGCUGAGGAGCGAAAAGCAUGGGUAGCGAACAGG
rnacentral:rRNA from 1 species